UCUUAUGGGAUGAGAGUAAAAAUGGAAAUUCUGAAAUAUUAUUUAUUUAUCCUUCAACCAAAAAAUUGUAAGGUUUGCGUUGAACACUUAUCGAGGGAAAUAGCAUUUUUCACACAAGAGGAAUUAAAAUAAAACCCUUCUUAUCUAAAUCUAAAUUCAUAUUUGGUGGAUCACAAUUUUAUUUCAUAAAAGCAUUUUUGCAUUUUGGGGUUAGGUUUAGUCGAAGAGCAGUUAUAAUAUAUGGAGUAUAUACUUUGUAUAAUACUUUAUAAUAUAUAAUAUAUGGGUAUAAAGCGUACCUCAGUAAAUAUUUAUAUAUCUAAUCCUUAAUCAGGAUGAAAAUUACCCAUUUAAAAAGCAUAAAUUUUCGUGAAUUCUAGUUCUUAACUAGUAUCCUGUAUCAUUAACAUUUUUUAACCGCUGCCAAUACAAAUAUUUUUUUUAAUUUUCAGAUAAAGAUGUCGCUCGGAUUGAAAGGGGUGGUACAAGCUGAAGCCUUCUCCUCGGUGAAACUUGGACUGAAGCCUGGAGGAACUCCAAAUCUAGUUUUAACCCCCUCUACCUCCUCCAACCCUACCCGGAGUAAACAACCCUGCUCUCCGUACCACCAGUCUACUCCUUCUAGGUCAUUACAAGCCAGCAAUGCGUCAGCACUUCUUGGAACUCCCAUUUCAGGACGGAAAGACACAGGUCUAGACCGACCAGGAACUCCUUUUGGUCGAUCCUCACCCUUCGCUUUUCUUCAUCGCCUCACACCCAGUAGGAGGAAUUCCUGGUCUGCGAAUACUCCUGAGUGUGCUAGGGACCUUGAAUGGUGUAACUAUGUUGAUUGUAACACACCAAGGAGUCGGGCACGCUGGGAGUUUAAAUCUCCCCUGAAGGGUAGCCCAGCCAAGAGACUGUUCUCUUGGGGGUGGGAAGGAGAGUUUAAUGAAUCUUUAGAUGUAGAUUCGGAUUCAGAGGUGUUUGAAGAAGGAUAUAUACCGUUGACUGAUCUGAAUUCUAGGGUGACUCAUAUGCUGCACAUUAGAGACUUCGAAUCCCUGCCCUCAACCUUAUAAACCAUGAUUGAUAUGUAUACUGUAUAGUUUAUGUUUAAGUAAUAUUUAUACUUUUAUUUGUAGUAAUUUUUAGCCAAGGUCAAUUUAUAGAUUAUCAUGUGGAUUGACCCUGAUCUGACCCCCCUUCACAACAUCGGGCAUGUCACUUUAUAUUUUGAGAAAUACCACAAUUUACGCCAACAGUCCCUUGAACCCGAUGUUGUUUUGUGACCGGACAGAAGGAACCCAUUAUUUUAUUCUAGCGACGAUGUCCCAGAAAAUAAUCUCAAUUGUUUCAGA
rnacentral:misc_RNA from 1 species